rnacentral:tRNA from 1 species
GCCGAAGUGGCGGAACGGCAGACGCGCUGCGUUCAGGGCGCAGUGCCCUUCGGGGCGUGUGGGUUCAAAUCCCACCUUCGGCACCA